UUGAAACAAAUGUCAUCAAGAGGUAAUUAACUUUUGUAUCACUACUUGAACACUAGGAACCACAUAAGGUAUUAAAAAUUUAUUAAAAACCUAACUGAUAAAAACAAUUUCUAAAAGAGACUAAAGUGUCGUCCUUUUAUAAUUAGCCAAAUACCGGAGCAAUUUCUAUUUUCCUCACAAAAUUUACAAAAAUGACUCAAAAAUAGGAUCUUAAAUAAAUAAGCAAUAGAGCAGUCUAAUUGUACAUUCUCUAAUAUUACAAAAGCAAUGUUAAUUUUACAAACUUGUGAUCUGUCAGCAAGAUGAUAAAUAGAAAGAGAAAGUACGGUGCAUUUAGAGCUGGCAAAACGGGUCAUCGGGUCGUGUUCGUGUCGUGUCAGCUUCGUGUCGUGUCAAAUUUAGGUUGAUCCAAACCCGACCCAUUUAAUAAUCGUGUCAAAAUAUUGAGACCCAAACCCGACACGGAAAAAUAAUCGGGUUACCCAAUAACCCGUUUAAUAUCUAUAUAUUGAACAAAAGUUACAUAAAAUAUUUACACACUAUCAUACAUACGUAUGUACAUAAAUACAUACAUACAUACAUACAUAAUUUAUCGAUAUUAUAAAAUAUAUAUAUCUACUAAUAUAUUACACAUUUACACUAUUGAGGUUUUAAUUAUAUAUAUAUAUAUAUAUAUAAUAUUAUAUAUCAAUAUUAUAAAAUAUACAUGUCUAUCAAUUUUUACACAUUUACACUAUUGAAGCUCUAAAUGUAUGUAAAAUUUUAUAAAUAAAACACUGUGUUUAUAUUCACCCUUUUAAAGAAUAAAAAAAAGAAAAUCAUCUCUAAUAUUUGAGUUUUAAUUAUAAGAAUAUGUAAAUUAUUUUAAAAUAGAAAAUAUAAUCAGAUCAUUGAUCGGGUAAAUGGGUCAAGAAUUUUAACCCAAACCCGACACGGAAAAAAAUCGUGUUGACCCGGACCCGACCCAUUUAAUAAUCGUGUUAAAUUUGACGACCCAUACCCAUUUAUUUAUGUCGUGUUCGUGUCGGGUAAUCGGGUCGUGUCAAAUUUUGCCAGCUCUAGGUGCAUUAAAGAAUUCAAUACAAUGGAGAUCGAAGUAAGGAUGGCAACCCAUGUUAAGCCACAUUUUCCUAAAAAAAAAAAAUAUGAUAAGUUGCAUGAUACAUUGCGCUACUGACUAGUGACUACAAUCUAAAUGGAAAGGCACAUUGAUGAUAGUAAAAAUUAUUUUCAUUUAUGACUUCAUAACUUUCUGGUGAUUGAAUCUAACAAGUGCUCAAGUAUCCAAUGGUUCAAAUGCAUUCCACAUAUUUUGAUCACAUAUCCAAUGGAUCAAAUGCAUUCCACAUAUUUUGAUCAUCCGACGACUGCGGAUCUCUUAGAAUGGAUUCAAUCUUUGGUCCUCCAUGUUGAUUUCUUGCAACAGGAAAAUUCCAAAAUGAAUCAGAGUUCUCGAAGAAAAUGUAAAAUACAACAGCCGAUGCCAGAAAU
rnacentral:lncRNA from 1 species